rnacentral:rRNA from 1 species
UGACACAGGGAGGUAGUGACAAUAAAUAACAAUGCCGGGCCUUUACAGGUCUGGCAAUUGGAAUGAGAACAAUUUAAAUCCCUUAUCGAGUAUCAAUUGGAGGGCAAGUCUGGUGCCAGCAGCCGCGGUAAUUCCAGCUCCAAUAGCGUAUAUUAAAGUUGUUGCAGUUAAAAAGCUCGUAGUUGGAUUUCUGCCAAGGCCGACCGGUCCGCCCUUUGGGUGAGUAUCUGGCUUGGCUGGAUCAUUUUCUUGGAGGGCAUGGCUGCACUUAACUGUGUGGUAUGCAACCCAAGACUUUUACUUUGAGGAAAUUAGAGUGUCUCAAGCAGGCUCGCGCCUUAAAUACAUUAGCAUGGAAUAAUAAGAUAAGGCCUUGGUUGUAUUUUGUUGGUUUCUACAGCUGAGGUAAUGAUGAACAGGGAUACUUGGGGGCAUACGAAUUUAACUGUCAGAGGUGAAAUUCUUGGAUUUGUUAAAGACGGACUACUGUGAAAGCAUUUGCCAAGAAUGUUUUCAUUGAUCAAGAAUGAAAGUUAGGGGGUCGAAGAUGAUCAGAUACCGUCUUAGUCUUAACCAUAAACUAUGCCGACUAGAGAUUGGAGGUUGCUACUUACAUGACUCCUUCAGCACCUUAUGGGAAAUCAAAGUCUUUGGGUUCCGGGGGGAGUAUGGUUGCAAGGCUGAAACUUAAAGGAAUUGACGGAAGGGCACCACCAGUAGUGGAGCCUG